CCUCAUUCCCCCUCCUUCAAGUCCUCAAUUUCUUCCUUUAGUUUUCUUUAUCCUCCCUUUCCACCUCUCAUCAUUGCUUAAGAACAACCCACUGCCACUCUUUUCCCCUUACCAGCCCUGCAUUGCUAAAGAAAUUAAGCCAAGAAAAAUCAAACAAAAAAGGGAACAUUUCCUAGAAAACCUUUUCUGCUUUUCACACAUCUUUUUUUCUCCACAGAGAUAUACAUAUGUUGAUUGUGGCUUAACUUACUGUGCGAUUUAGGCUGAUUAGAUUAGAUUGUAAGAUGCCAGGGAUAGAGACUCUCCAAUGCCUUUUAUCUCUGAAAUGCCUGGCAUCCAGUGUCCCCAAGGAAGCGCUCAAGACUAACGAAAAGCUGAACAGUUUCUCUAAAACCUUGGGGAUCUUCUAUCAGCUGUGCCAUGUACACCAGUGUUUUGUGACUUCUCUUGGGACUAACAAAAAAUACUUGCAUUUUUAGAAGCUUGUGAUUUCACUGGAGCCUUGUAUGCUUCUGUGUUUCCUUGAGGUACUUACUUGCACAUGGUAAAACACAAUGCUCACAGGUGCUGGCAUGAGCAUUCCCAGCUGAGCAGACUGUUGGUUGCAUCAAGAGCACUGCAGAAGAGCAGAGGAAGGCUGCCCAGGGGGGUCUGAUAACCCGAACAUCCAGGAACUGGUCAGUCAAGCAAGAAUUUGAGGUGGGCAGAUACAGCCUGCUUCACUUUUUGCAUAUAAACAAUCUUCUGAAUUUAGCUUUUCUUCUGCUUCUACAACCUGAUCUGUGGGUGUGUUUUCAGUAUUGAAGACCUGAGUAGUAGAAAUAAACAGUCUUUCUCUCGU